ACGCUGGCGGCAGGCCUAACACAUGCAAGUCGAGCGGUAGAGAGAAGCUUGCUUCUCUUGAGAGCGGCGGACGGGUGAGUAAUGCCUAGGAAUCUGCCUGGUAGUGGGGGAUAACGUUCGGAAACGGACGCUAAUACCGCAUACGUCCUACGGGAGAAAGCAGGGGACCUUCGGGCCUUGCGCUAUCAGAUGAGCCUAGGUCGGAUUAGCUAGUUGGUGAGGUAAUGGCUCACCAAGGCGACGAUCCGUAACUGGUCUGAGAGGAUGAUCAGUCACACUGGAACUGAGACACGGUCCAGACUCCUACGGGAGGCAGCAGUGGGGAAUAUUGGACAAUGGGCGAAAGCCUGAUCCAGCCAUGCCGCGUGUGUGAAGAAGGUCUUCGGAUUGUAAAGCACUUUAAGUUGGGAGGAAGGGUUGUAGAUUAAUACUCUGCAAUUUUGACGUUACCGACAGAAUAAGCACCGGCUAACUCUGCGCCAGCAGCCGCGGUAAUACAGAGGGUGCAAGCGUUAAUCGGAAUUACUGGGCGUAAAGCGCGCGUAGGUGGUUUGUUAAGUUGGAUGUGAAAUCCCCGGGCUCAACCUGGGAACUGCAUUCAAAACUGACUGACUAGAGUAUGGUAGAGGGUGGUGGAAUUUCCUGUGUAGCGGUGAAAUGCGUAGAUAUAGGAAGGAACACCAGUGGCGAAGGCGACCACCUGGACUAAUACUGACACUGAGGUGCGAAAGCGUGGGGAGCAAAC
rnacentral:rRNA from 1 species